GGGUCCUGUGGGUGGAGGAUUCAGGAAUGGGAACUGGUACUUGGGUGGGGAAGACUGGCUGGGUCUGAGUUUUUGCUAUUCUUGCUCCCCAAGGAGCCCCGGGCACUGUGGUGUCUCCAGUCCCCACCCCAGGUCAGGAGGCCAGCUUGGUCUAGGAGGAGAGGCUGGACUUUGGAGGGUUUUUCUGGCAUUGUCUGCCCAGCUGCUCCAAGCCAGGCUGAUGAAGGAGGAGUCCCCUGUGGUGACUGGAGGUUGGAGCCUGAAGAUGGCACAGCUCUGUGAUUCAUCUCCUG
rnacentral:lncRNA from 1 species